rnacentral:tRNA from 1 species
GGUCGGUUAGCUCAGUUGGUUAGAGCGUGGUGCUAAUAUCUUCCUUCUCCGGUGUCAUUUCGGUCACUACGAGGGAUUGUAUCUGGAACGCCAAGGCCGCGGGUUCGACCCCCGUACUGACCA